AGUGAACGCUGGCGGUGGGCCUAACACAUGCAAGUCGAACGGCAGCACAGUAAGAGCUUGCUCUUACGGGUGGCGAGUGGCGGGCGGGUGAGGAAUACAUCGGAAUCUACUUUUUCGUGGGGGAUAACGUAGGGAAACUUACGCUAAUACCGCAUACGACCUACGGGUGAAAGCAGGGGAUCUUCGGACCUUGCGCGAUUGAAUGAGCCGAUGUCGGAUUAGCUAGUUGGCGGGGUAAAGGCCCACCAAGGCGACGAUCCGUAGCUGGUCUGAGAGGAUGAUCAGCCACACUGGAACUGAGACACGGUCCAGACUCCUACGGGAGGCAGCAGUGGGGAAUAUUGGACAAUGGGCGCAAGCCUGAUCCAGCCAUACCGCGUGGGUGAAGAAGGCCUUCGGGUUGUAAAGCCCUUUUGUUGGGAAAGAAAAGCAGCAGGUUAAUACCCCGCUGUUCUGACGGUACCCAAAGAAUAAGCACCGGCUAACUUCGUG
rnacentral:rRNA from 1 species